rnacentral:rRNA from 1 species
AGUGAACGCUGGCGGUAGGCCUAACACAUGCAAGUCGAACGGCAGCACAGUAAGAGCUUGCUCUUACGGGUGGCGAGUGGCGGACGGGUGAGGAAUACAUCGGAAUCUACUUUUUCGUGGGGGAUAACGUAGGGAAACUUACGCUAAUACCGCAUACGACCUACGGGUGAAAGCAGGGGAUCUUCGGACCUUGCGCGAUUGAAUGAGCCGCUGUCGGAUUAGCUAGUUGGCGGGGUAAAGGCCCACCAAGGCGACGAUCCGUAGCUGGUCUGAGAGGAUGAUAAGCCACACGGGAACUGAGACACGGUCCAGACUCCUACGGGAGGCAGCAGUGGGGAAUAUUGGACAAUGGGCGCAAGCCUGAUCCAACCAUACCGCGUGGGUGAAGAAGGCCUUCGGGUUGUAAAGCCCUUUUGUUGGGAAAGAAAAGCAGCAGGUUAAUACCCCGCUGUUCUGACGGUACCCAAAGAAUAAGCACCGGCUAACUUCGUG